rnacentral:lncRNA from 1 species
ACAAUUCAAGCCCUUAAGCCUUAAUGUUGUUGGCUUUGCCCUUUGAUGAUCUUGAUUUUAUCAUCAUUUUUAUCAUUUUGUCCAAUUAUUGGACGCUGAGAUUGCUCAUCAUCUCAUUAAUUACUACUAUAUAUAUAUGUCUUUGUUUAAUGCACUUUGUGCAUCUCUCUCUUUUCUCCAAGUCCUGUUGUAGAACUUGCUAAAUA